CCUACGGGCGGCAGCAGUGGGGGAUAUUGCACAAUGGGGGGAACCCUGAUGCAGCGACGCCGCGUGGGUGAAGAAGCGCCUCGGCGCGUAAAGCCCUGUCAGCAGGGAAGAAAAUGACGGUACCUGAAGAAGAAGCCCCGGCUAACUACGUGCCAGCAGCCGCGGUAAUACGUAGGGGGCAAGCGUUAUCCGGAUUUACUGGGUGUAAAGGGGGCGCAGACGGCGAUGCAAGCCAGGAGUGAAAGCCCGGGGGCCAACCCCGGGACUGCUCUUGGAACUGCGUGGCUGGAGUGCAGGAGGGGCAGGCGGAAUUCCUGGUGUAGCGGUGAAAUGCGUAGAUAUCAGGAGGAACACCGGUGGCGAAGGCGGCCUGCUGGACUGCAACUGACGUUGAGACCCGAAAGCGUGGGGAGCAAACAGGAUUAGAUACCCCUGUAGUC
rnacentral:rRNA from 1 species